rfam:Triticum aestivum genome assembly, contig: Triticum_aestivum_CS42_TGACv1_scaffold_342855_4DL
AACUUACUCCCUUUGUCCGGAAAUACUUGCCAUCAAAAUGGACAAAAAGAGAUGUAUCUAGAUGCUUUUUGUUCAUUUUGAUGACAAGUAUUUCCGGACGGAGGGAGUAUAUU